rnacentral:tRNA from 1 species
GGAGGGGUGGCAGAGUGGUCUAUUGCGGCGGUCUUGAAAACCGCUGUGGGAGCAAUCCCACCGGGGGUUCGAAUCCCUCCCCCUCCGCCA